rnacentral:rRNA from 1 species
CCCUUAGAUGUCCGGGGCUGCACGCGCGCUACACUGUAGAAAGCAGCGUGCUUUAAAACCUUUCCUGAAAAGGAUGGGUAACCCCAGCAAAAUUCUACGUGCUUGGGAUAGAGAUUUGCAAUUUUCUCUCUUGAACGAGGAAUUCCCAGUAAGUGCGAGUCAUCAGCUCGCGUUGAUUACGUCCCUGCCCUUUGUACACACCGCCCGUCGCUACUACCGAUUGAAUGGCUUAGUGAGCCUUUGGGAUUGGCAGCCAACACCGGCAACGGUAGCUGGCCGCCGAAAACUUAUGCAAACUUGGUCAUUUAGAGGAAGUAAAAGUCGUAACA